GAUCCUGGCUCAGGACGAACGCUGGCGGCGCGCCUAACACAUGCAAGUCGAACGAGAGAUGAGGAGCUUGCUCUUCAAAUCGAGUGGCGAACGGGUGAGUAACGCGUGAGGGAACCUGCCUCAAAGAGGGGGGACAACAGUUGGAAACGACUGCUAAUACCGCAUAAGCCCACGGCUCGGCAUCGAGCAGAGGGAAAGAGUGAUCCGCUUUGUAGGAUGGCUCGCGUCCGAUUAG
rnacentral:rRNA from 1 species